UGUGAGUGCACCUCAUUCACAUGUGCUGAAGAAUCUGGUAAAAGCAUCAUUGUGAAGCAAAUGAGGAUCCUGCAUGUUAAUGGGUUUAAUGGAGAGGGCAGCAAAGAGGACCCACAGGCUGCAAGGAGCAACAGCGAUGGUGAGAAGACAACCAAAGAGCAGGACAUCAAAAACAACCUGAAGGAGGCCAUUGAAACCGUUGUAGCUGCCGUGAGCAACCUGGUGCCCCCUGCGGAGCUGGCCAACCCUGAGAAGCAGUUCAGAGUGGACUACAUUCUAAGUGUAAUGAACAAGCCCGACUUUGACUUUCCUCCCGAAUUCUACGAGCACACCAAGGCUCUGUGGGAGGAUGAAGGAGUGCAGGCCUGCUAUGAGCGCUCCAAUGAGUACCAGCUGAUCGACUGUGCCCAGUAGUUCCUGGACAAGAUUGAUGUCAUCAAGCAGGCUAUGUGCCAAGUGACCAGGACCUGCUUCACUCCGGCAUCCUGACUUCUGGAAUCUUUAAGACCAAGUUCCAGGUGUACAAAGUCAACUUCCACAUAUUUGACGUGGGUGGCCAGGGCAAUUGAUGAACGCCACAAGUGGAUCCAAUGCUUCAAUGAUGUGACUGCUAUCAUCUUCCUGGUGGCCAGCAGCAGCUACAACAUGGUCAUCCGGGAGGACAACCAGACCAACCGUCUGCAGGAGGCUCUUAACCUCUUCAAGAACAUUCGGAACAACAGAUGGCUGCGCACCAUCUCUGUGAUCCUGUUCCUCAACAAGCAAGAUUUGCUCGCAGAGAAAGUCCUUGCUGGAAAAUCGAAGAUUGAGGACUACUUUCCAGAGUUCACUCGCGUCUCCUGAGGAUGCUACUCCCGAGCUCGGAGAGGACCCAUGCGUGACCCAGGCCAAGUACUUCAUCCGAGAUGAGUUUCUGAGAAUCAGCACUGCCAGUGGAGAUGGGCGCCACUACUGCUACGCUCACUUCACCUGCUCUGUGGACCCUGAGAACAUCCGCCGUGUGUUCAACGACUGCAGUGACAUCAUCCAGUGCAUCUCCGUCAUUAUGAGCUGCUCUAAGAAGGGAACCCCAAAUUUAAUUAAAGCCUUAAGCACAAUUAAUGAAAAGUAAAACAUAAUUGUACAAGCAGUUAAUCACCCACAGUAGGGCAUGAUUAACAAAAGCAACCUUUCCUUUCCCGAGUGAUUCUGAAAAACCCCCUUUUCCCUUCAGCUUGCUUAGUUGUUCCAAAUUUAGAAAGCUUAAGGCAGCCUACA